rnacentral:rRNA from 1 species
CGCAGCCGCGGUAAUUCCAGCUCCAAUAGCGUAUAUUAAAGUUGUUGCAGUUAAAAAGCUCGUAGUUGAAUUUCGGAAUCUGUCCGUUGGUCGGGCUUCAUUGUCCGUACUGGUGUGAUGGGUUCUUACCUUCUGAAUAACCAGCAUGCCAUUCAUUUGGUGCGUUGGGGAAGCAGGACUAUUACCUUGAAAAAAUUAGAGUGCUCAAAGCAGGCUAGUGCCUGAAUACAUUAGCAUGGAAUAAUAAAAUAGGACGGCAUGGUUCUAUUUUGUUGGUUUCUAGGAUCACCGUAAUGAUUAAUAGGGAUAGUUGGGGGCAUUAGUAUUCAAUUGUCAGAGGUGAAAUUCUUGGAUUUAUUGAAGACUAACUUCUGCGAAAGCAUUUGCCAAGGAUGUUUUCAUUAAUCAAGAACGAAAGUUAGGGGAUCGAAGACGAUCAGAUACCGUCGUAGUCUUAACCAUAGACUAUGCCGACUAGGGAUCGGACGAUGUUAAUUUUUUAAUGACUCG